rnacentral:tRNA from 1 species
GGAGGUGGAGCUCAGUGGUAGAGCUCAUGCUUGACAUGCAUGAGGUCCUGGGUUCAAUCCCCAGUGCCUCCA